rnacentral:rRNA from 1 species
GUCCACGCCUAACGAUGUCUACUAGUUGUUGGUCUUAAUUGACUUAGUAACGCAGCUAACGCGUGAAGUAGACCGCCUGGGGAGUACGGUCGCAAGAUUAAACUCAAAGGAAUUGACGGGACCCGCACAAGCGGUGGAUGAUGUGGAUUAAUUCGAUGCAACGCGAAACCUUACCUACCCUUGACAUGUACAGAAUGCCGAAAGAGAUUUGGCGGUGCUCGCAAGAGAACUGUAACACAGGUGCUGCAUGGCUGUCGU